rnacentral:tRNA from 1 species
GCCGGGGUAGGGUAGGUGGUCAUCCUCCGGGACUGUGGAUCCCGGGACUCGGGUUCGAAUCUCGGCUCCGGCCCCA